rnacentral:rRNA from 1 species
UUAAAGGAAUUGACGGAAGAGCACCACCAGAAGUGGAGCAUGCGGCUUAAUUUGACUCAACACGGGAAAUCUCACCAGGCCAGGACACCGGCAGGAUUGACAGAUUGAUAGCUCUUUCUCGAUUCGGUGGGUGGUGGUGCAUGGCCGUUCUUCGUUGGUGGAGUGAUUUGUCUGGUUAAUUCCGAUAACGAACGAGACCCCGUCCUACUAACUAGUCGAAACCGGCAUCCUUUGUGCAGCCGGCGACCUAGUUUCUUCUUAGGGGGACGGGCGUCUUCCAGACGCACGAAAUGGGGCAAUAACAGGUCUGUAAUGCCCUUAGAUGUCCUGGGCCGCACGCGCGCUACAAUGAAGGUGUGAACGUGUGUUGUCCUAUCCCGAGAGGGACGGGUAACCCGUUGAAGUACCUUCGUGCUAGGGACUGAGGCCUGCAAUUAUUCCUCACGAACGAGGAAUUCCUAGUAGGCGGAAGUCAUCAGCUUCCGUCGAUUAUGUCCCUGCUCUUUGUACACACCGCCCGUCGCUACUACCGAUUGAAUGAUUGAUUGAGGUCCUCGGACCGGUGCGCGGCCUCCGGGUUUCCUGGGGACCGAUGCGACCGGGAAGACGACCGAACUUGAUCAUUUAGAGGAAGUAAAAGUCGUAACAAGGUUACC